CUUCCGCGUCCUCAAGCUGGAUGGUGAGGUCGGCGUUGGAGUCGCCGGCGGCGGCCUGUCGCAGGUUCAUGUAGGUCCGCCUCCUGGUCGGGGGC
rnacentral:tRNA from 1 species